rnacentral:rRNA from 1 species
AGAGUUUGAUCCUGGCUCAGAGUGAACGCUGGCGGUAGGCCUAACACAUGCAAGUCGAACGGCAGCACAGAGGAGCUUGCUCCUUGGGUGGCGAGUGGCGGACGGGUGAGGAAUACAUCGGAAUCUACUCUGUCGUGGGGGAUAACGUAGGGAAACUUACGCUAAUACCGCAUACGACCUACGGGUGAAAGCAGGGGAUCUUCGGACCUUGCGCGAUUGAAUGAGCCGAUGUCGGAUUAGCUAGUUGGCGGGGUAAAGGCCCACCAAGGCGACGAUCCGUAGCUGGUCUGAGAGGAUGAUCAGCCACACUGGAACUGAGACACGGUCCAGACUCCUACGGGAGGCAGCAGUGGGGAAUAUUGGACAAUGGGCGCAAGCCUGAUCCAGCCAUACCGCGUGGGUGAAGAAGGCCUUCGGGUUGUAAAGCCCUUUUGUUGGGAAAGAAAUCCAGCCGGCUAAUACCUGGUUGGGAUGACGGUACCCAAAGAAUAAGCACCGGCUAACUUCGUGCCAGCAGCCGCGGUAAUA